UCUUUCCGUAGCUUGCCCACACUUGGAACUGCAACCGUUUUGACAUAGCAUAGGAAGGCAGUUGGUGAGGGGAGUGUUAUAUUAUAGAUGUCAGUAUGGACCUUCAUCACCCGCACUUGAUCGGUGAUUGCCUUAUUCAUAUUUUUACAUUCCUGGCCGAGGAAGAUUUAAUCAGUGCCUCCAGUGUGUGUAAGGAUUGGCAUGAAGCUGCAGAGACUCCCUGGUUAUGGAGGAGGAUGUGUCUGCAGCGCUGGAGUUUCUGUAACUUUACAGUCUUGGGGAGGGAAGACGUGAAUCGCUCGUGGAAGAGAUACUUACUGCGACGUUGCCACAUAGAGACGAAGAUGACGAAAGGCCGAUCUGGAGGUUAUACCUGCAAAAGUCUCAGAGGACACACAGGCAGGGUGGUAGGGUUGGUGUACCUGCAGCGGAAUUCAGCUCAGCUCCCUGACCUCUGCAACAGCAGUGUCACAGUGUGCAGCGCCUCUACUGAUGGGACAGUCCGAGCAUGGAACAUCCAAAAUGGUGAACUCCUGUGGUGCAGUCCUGCGCAGAGUCCCUUGACCGGGAUUGUAAGUGAUGAACAGCAUGAAGUUGUGGUCACAGCAGACUCCACUGGCCUCAUAAAGACCUGGCAGGGUCAGACUGGCCAGGAGGUGGCCUCCUUUUCUACUGCAUCUCCACACUGUACAUUACUACAGUACAAUGUCAGCAACAAUUGGUUCUUGACUGUUGGAACUAGUCAGGGAUCUGUGUGUACACUAGCUGAUUCAUCUUUGACUAAAAAGUCCAGUUUAAUGGUGUGUGACACAUUUAAAGUCAACAUACUCCUUGUUUCACCUGACAAGAAAUGGAUCACAGCUGGAACCAGAGACAAUGAUGACUUAAGUCCAAAGGUGGUUUAUACUGAGAGUUUGACCUCUCCGUCUGAGGGCGAAGAACCUCUGUGCCAGUCUGUGCCUGUCACUGGGUGCCAGGCUGCUGUCUUCAUACCCACCCAGCCUGCCAGACUGGCCAUCAUCCACCACAACGAGCGCCUAAACAACAAAGCCCUCACUGUCUUCGAUGUCAGCAUUAAAAAGACCAAGUACAAGUCAGAGAUCCAGGUCCAGCAGGUGGAGACCUUCCCCUUGCCACUGAACACCUGGUCUUCACACAUCCUUCUAGAGGCCAAGGACAGCAACUGCUUAGUGUUGGCAGCUAACCAGGGGCUGUGGGUCUACUCCCUGAAAGGAGCCCUGCUUGCUAGCUUUAAAGAGCAUACGAUGCCUAUUUCUGCUAUAUGUGUGAGGACCAAUUUGUGUGGUCUUCACAUAUACAGGAUAGCUUUCGCGUGGUGACAGCAUCUCAGGACCUCUCCUUACGAGUGUUGACAUGGAGAAAUGACAGAGACCAUGGGUUGACCCUUGAUAGCCAAUACCACUUACUGGGAGGCUCUCACACAAUGUCCAGAGGGUUCACUCAUGUCGCCUGUGACUACUCCAGCAUCGUGGCCUCAGCAGAAGGGAAAGAUGGGAAAGAUGUCUUGAAAGCUUAUUCUUUCACUUCCUGAGCACCACUGCUCCACAAAACGGUGCCUAUAAGCAGUUUGCACAAGCCACUGGAAGGAGGAACAUUUGCUUUUAUUAUGAACUGUUAAUCAUACAUGCUAACAUUAGGAUGCUCUUUGAUAUGUCUAUGUUUACAGGAAACUGAAUGUAACACUAUGUUAUGGGAAAGGCAUUCAUACAUUGUGUGAACAACAUGCUUGUUAAGAAAAUAAAAGUCUGUACAUGAAUGGGGA